CUCAGGGAGUGGAUCUGGGAAUGGAGAGGCGCACGGAAAGAGGCCCCUGGAAAGGCUCACAUGCGUGCGCAUAUUCCAGGAAAGAAGUACAAACCUGCCCCCGUUGCCAGGGCAACCAACUCAGCGCCAGCAACGGCUUUAAUUGGAAGUAGCUUAUUUGGCUGAAGCCCCAGGAAUAAUCAACGGGAGAUUAGUAACAUUAAAAACCAGCAGGAGCCAGGAAACAUCUCGGAGAGGAUGGUGACAGAUAGGACAGUCCCCCUGGAAACCACCACUGAUAACAACAGCCAGCCGCUGUUAAGCUUACCCAGCGACCCCAGCUUCUUCUGGCCUGGGCAAAACUAAGCGUCCGCACUGUACUAGAUGGCAGGGAAGGUACCCAGGCCUCCGCUGCACCCCAGAACUCCACCGCCACCAAGGUGCCCAGAAGAGUGCUGCUGAUGCGAUGCUGACUUGGGCCAGGACUCCCAGAGGCUGAUUCCCUCGAGAUGUUAUUGCUACACAGAGUUCCAGUUCAUUGGGACAAUUGAGACAAUCCCAGAGUUGGUGCUGGUGGGUUUUAAUUACUGCUCCCAGAGAGACUCUACCCCAUUAAGAGUCUAGGCUUCAGGUUGCUGCGAGCCUGGUAUCAAGUCCGCUGCAAGGGGUGCCUCCCAGCCAUGAGGAAGGGAGCCACCUCGACGGGUGGGCCUCCAGAAGGAUAUUUUUACCCAUGUGUUUAUUCGCUGAUCAAUCUAAAUUACUUUUUUAAGGCAACUGGCAUUUACUCAACUGUCACCUUAUUAAAAUCUCGCCAUCCUGAGCGUUGUGAA